rnacentral:rRNA from 1 species
GACGAACGCUGGCGGCGUGCUUAACACAUGCAAGUCGAACGGAAAGGCCUCUUUCGGGGGGUACUCGAGUGGCGAACGGGUGAGUAACACGUGAGUAACCUGCCCUUGACUUUGGGAUAACUUCAGGAAACUGGGGCUAAUACCGGAUAGGAGCUCCUGCUGCAUGGUGGGGGUUGGAAAGUUUCGGCGGUUGGGGAUGGACUCGCGGCUUAUCAGCUUGUUGGUGGGGUAGUGGCUUACCAAGGCUUUGACGGGUAGCCGGCCUGAGAGGGUGACCGGCCACAUUGGGACUGAGAUACGGCCCAGACUCCUACGGGAGGCAGCAGUGGGGAAUAUUGCACAAGGGGUGGAAGCCGGAUGCAGCAACGCCGUGGGCGGGAUGACGGCCUUCGGGUUGGAAACCGCUUUCGCUCAUGACGAAGCUUUGUGUGACGGUAGUGGGUAAAGAAGCACCGGCUAACUACGUG